rnacentral:rRNA from 1 species
UACGUAGGGUGCGAGCGUUGUCCGGAAUUAUUGGGCGUAAAGAGCUCGUAGGCGGUUUGUCGCGUCGACUGUGAAAACCUGGGGCUUAACUCUGGGCCUGCAGUCGAUACGGGCAGGCUUGAGUUCGGUAGGGGAGACUGGAAUUCCUGGUGUAGCGGUGAAAUGCGCAGAUAUCAGGAGGAACACCGGUGGCGAAAGCGGCUUCCUGGUCCAGCACCGACGUUCAGGCACGAAAGCGUGGGGAGCAAACAGG